UUUUACUGAGAGUUUGAUCUUGGCUCAGGAUGAACGCUGGCGGCGUGCCUAACACAUGCAAGUCGAACGGAUGUAGCAAUACAUUAGUGGCGAACGGGUGAGUAACACGUAAGUAACCUACCCAUAAGACUGGAACAACCUGCCGAAAGGUGGGCUAAUUCCAGAUGUGAUCCUAUUUGCGCAUGCAGAUUGGAUUAAAUCCCGCAAGGGGCUUAAGGAUGGGCUUGCGGCCUAUCAGCUAGUUGGUGAGGUAAAGGCUUACCAAGGCUAUGACGGGUAACUGGUCUGAGAGGAUGAUCAGUCACAAUGGAACUGAGACACGGUCCAUACUCCUACGGGAGGCAGCAGUGAGG
rnacentral:rRNA from 1 species